ACAAAUCAGUUUUUAUACGAACGGAUAAGUAAAUUGAAUUCACAACUUAUGAACCACAAUUGGAUGUAAUCAAAUCAUAUUGCAAGCAUGAACAUAGUUUCGAAUCACCCCCUAACUAAAAGGGGUUUAGUUCCUCAUACUCACAAAGCAAAGAUGCAUCAAUUUAGACAUUAAAAACAAAGAUAGAAAACACCUAGAAACGCUCCAACACUCCCAAGGCUUGGGCUUAGGCACGGCACCAGGUUUCUUCUUCUUUCUCCUUCCUUGCAAGCUGCGGCACUAAAGGUUUUGGACAGGUUUUGGGUGGUUUUUAUGGUGUAGAAUGGAUGGGGAAUGGUAUGGAAAUGUUUAGGGUUGAUGGGUGGUGUGGCUAGGGGUGAUUUUUGGUUGAAUUUGGAGAGAAUGGUGGUGGAGAACUCACGGCAAAGAUGGAUCAAAAUCUGUCCUCUUUGAUGAAUAUGGGAGGUGGUAUUUAUAGGCUUGAGAGAUGACCACUCCAUUUCCUUUGCAUGUGCAGCUUGUGUGGGUAUGAGUUGUCAUGUUUCCCCUUUACAUUUAUACACACAUGCUUCAUCAUUUCAUCCACAAAACACACCAAUUUUCUGCCCA
rnacentral:lncRNA from 1 species